rnacentral:rRNA from 1 species
UACGAAGGGGGCUAGCGUUGCUCGGAAUUACUGGGCGUAAAGCGCACGUAGGCGGGUCGUUAAGUCGGGGGUGAAAUCCUGGAGCUCAACUCCAGAACUGCCCUCGAAACUGGCGAUCUUGAGUUCGGGAGAGGUGAGUGGAACUGCGAGUGUAGAGGUGAAAUUCGUAGAUAUUCGCAAGAACACCAGUGGCGAAGGCGGCUCGCUGGGCCGAUACUGACGCUGAGGUGCGAAAGCGUGGGGAGCAAACAGG